UCUAAUAUGGCAGAUUAGUGCAAUGAAUUUAAGCUUCAUAUAUAAAGAUUACUCUUUUAUUAGAA
rnacentral:tRNA from 1 species